UACGUAGGGCGCAAGCGUUGUCCGGAAUUAUUGGGCGUAAAGAGCUCGUAGGCGGUUUGUCGCGUCUGCUGUGAAAACCUAAGGCUCAACCUUGGGCUUGCAGUGGGUACGGGCAGACUAGAGUGCGGUAGGGGUGACUGGAAUUCCUGGUGGUAGCGGUGGAAGUGCGCAGAUAUCAGGAGGAACACCCGUGGCGAAGGCGGGUCUCUGGACGAGUUC
rnacentral:rRNA from 1 species